rnacentral:rRNA from 1 species
CCUACGGGAGGCUGCAGUGGGGAAUAUUGCACAAUGGGCGCAAGCCUGAUGCAGCCAUGCCGCGUGUGUGAAGAAGGCCUUCGGGUUGUAAAGCACUUUCAGCGGGGAGGAAGGCGGUGAGGUUAAUAACCUCAUCGAUUGACGUUACCCGCAGAAGAAGCACCGGCUAACUCCGUGCCAGCAGCCGCGGUAAUACGGAGGGUGCAAGCGUUAAUCGGAAUUACUGGGCGUAAAGCGCACGCAGGCGGUCUGUCAAGUCGGAUGUGAAAUCCUCGGGCUCAACCUGGGAACUGCAUUCGAAACUGGCAGGCUAGAGUCUUGUAGAGGGGGGUAGAAUUCCAGGUGUAGCGGUGAAAUGCGUAGAGAUCUGGAGGAAUACCGGUGGCGAAGGCGGCCCCCUGGACAAAGACUGACGCUCAGGUGCGAAAGCGUGGGGAGCAAACAGGAUUAGAUACCCGUGUAGUC